rnacentral:lncRNA from 13 species
GUGGGGAGGCCAACAGCCAACCGGGGAAGCAGAACUGGGGUACAUUACCAUAACAGAACAAAGCAUCCUGAGAGAAGCUUCUUUUCUCACCCUAACCUGAGGUUCUGUGAUACUAGGGACUGUCUUACCAGUGGACUUUCUUUGAGGCUUGUACUGCAGGCUAACUGGCCACAACAGAUGAUACCAACAGGAUUUGGUGUUGUGAACAAUUAAGCUUCUCUUCACUUUCCUCCCUUAGUUUUCUUGCGUUUUCUCUGGCUUUAUGUUUCCUGAUGUGGGUUUUUUGAACUUGAACCUCACAAAGAACAUUUGUUAAAAGAUGAUGAAAGAGAUAUGUUUACACCAAAUGGCUGGUGCGCUUGUUCUUCUCCUUGCAGAAUACUCUGGGGUGCGCCAAAGCUUAUGGAACUUGAAAUCUUUUCCUGGUCUGGGGUUCCCUGCAAGCAAAAACCACAACCCCGUGCUAGAAAUAAACAGAAUUACCACAAGCCCUGGGACUGUAGGCAUGUGGAAAUCCCUGUGAUACUAAUGUCUGCUUGUUUUCUCCUUUUUUGGUUCGUCUUAGGCAAUGUAACUUGUGAGCAAUUCAGUGGCAGCAAGCCCAUCCUUGGCUGGGCACACGCCUCUGUGGAUCAAUGUGCUAUGCUGCUUGACCUCUGGACCUCUGAAACUGCUCUCCUGGAAAAAAAAGUCAGCUCUUGUAUCUAUCAGGAAUAAGGAAGAUGGAACUUAUCCUGGCCUGUCAGGUCAUUCAGAAAAAUGCUCUUUUGGCAGACAUUCAGCAAGCCUCCUUUUGUUAUUGGAUCCAGCCUCCCCAUACCCUGGACAGAAAGGUUAGAAGCAUCUUCCUCACACUGCUCUAGCAGUAAUGGAGUUAGUCAGCCCCAAGAGGGUAUCUGUUAGUUCUGCUUAUAAUCAAUUGGGUGGCAGUCCUGAACAAUACUUGGAACAGCAUCACGGAUGACUGCAGGAACUGCAGUGGGUGUGUAUUAG